rnacentral:lncRNA from 1 species
GUUAUCUUGAUAAGAAUAAAUUAUAUACACGUCAGACAGAAGCCAUAGGGCAUCUGCUAGUGUAAAUAGUUUCUUGUGAGAGAGAUAUAUGAUCACAUUAUGUGUUAUGCUAGAAUAAAGAAUUAUCCCAUAAAAGGCACAGUAUAAACAUCCAUAACUACCUGAGCCUUGUCAGGGCAGAGAAAGAAUUUAUAGCCCGCCUCCAGAAAGAGACCUAAGACCAAAUAAGAAAAAAAAUCACAACAACUUUAAGUGUAUGUUUCCACAUAUAUGAAAUAUCAAUAAAAGGUCAAUUCAUGCAGACAGAAAAUACAUUACUUUUUGCCUCUGGUUUGGAAGUGGGGGCAGUGUAGUUGACAGCUAAGGAAUGUGGAGUAUUUUAGGGUAAUGAAAAAAUUCCAAAAUUGAUUUAAGUGUUGAAUGCACAACUCUGUGAAUAUAAAACAAGCCACUUAAUUGUACAGUUCAAAAUGGUGAGUCAUAUUUUAAGAAAGGUGUUUUAAAAUAUGAUAAACAAGUAAAAAAUGGCAAAUACUGGAAACACUCUUAUAACAAGGUAGUUGAUGGGCUGUUUUUCUGAAUUUACAAAUAGUUUAAAUCAAAGGUAUAAAUAACUCACUGGAAAGCUGAGUUAGUAAAUAGUUUACAGGAAAUGACACAGGUUUGCAGAACUCAGUGAAAAAAUGUGGGACUUUUGUUAGUUAUUAGUGUUAUUUACCAAGAAUUUCUGCUGCCCAAUUUCCAGACAUGUAGACUUGCACUUCCACACACCUUUUGAACACAGCCACAUCCAUGUAACUUGUUUCAGUCAAUGAAAUGUAGCAGAAAGAUUUUGUCUGUUCUUGGAGGAAAUAUUUAACAGACACUAAGAUUUCUCAUGAUCUGUCUUUUCUUUUACAUGUUAACCAGCAAUGUUCCAGAUGGCAACUGUUCUAUCAUUUUAGUUAUAGUGAGCAAAGCCCUCAAUGGACAUGUGUUGGUCUUGUAGUACAGGCAAGAAAUAUAUUUUUGUUAUUUUAAGUUACUGAGAUUUUGGGGACCUUUUUUUAAACUGCAUUGCAGUGUAGCAUAUAUUGACUUGUAAGUUCAUUCAAAAUUGUACAGCAUAUUAAAAUAAUAAUAUUGCAUUUUUACACAUCA